GACGAACGCUGGCGGCGCGCCUAACACAUGCAGGUCGAACGAGCGAGAGAGAGCUUGCUUUCUCGAGCGAGUGGCGAACGGGUGAGUAACGCGUGAGGAACCUGCCUCAAAGAGGGGGACAACAGUUGGAAACGACUGCUAAUACCGCAUAAGCCCACGGUGCCGCAUGGCACAGAGGGAAAAGGAGCAAUCCGCUUUGAGAUGGCCUCGCGUCCGAUUAGCUAGUUGGUGAGGUAAUGGCCCACCAAGGCGACGAUCGGUAGCCGGACUGAGAGGUUGAACGGCCACAUUGGGACUGAGACACGGCCCAGACUCCUACGGGAGGCAGCAGUGGGGAAUAUUGCACAAUGGGGGAAACCCUGAUGCAGCGACGCCGCGUGGAGGAAGAAGGUCUUCGGAUUGUAAACUCCUGUUGUUGGGGAAGAUAAUGACGGUACCCAACAAGGAAGUGACGGCUAACUACGUA
rnacentral:rRNA from 1 species